GACGAACGCUGGCGGCGUGCUUAACACAUGCAAGUCGAGCGGUAAGGCCCUUUCGGGGGUACGACGAGCGGCGAACGGGUGAGUAACACGUGGGUGACCUGCCUUUAGCUCUGGGAUAAGCCUGGGAAACUGGGUCUAAUACCGGAUAUGACUCCGCGGUGCAUGCUGUGGGGUGGAAAGCCUUGUGCGGCUGGAGAUGGGCCCGCGGCCUAUCAGCUUGUUGGUGGGGUGAUGGCCUACCAAGGCGACGACGGGUAGCCGGCCUGAGAGGGCGACCGGCCACACUGGGACUGAGACACGGCCCAGACUCCUACGGGAGGCAGCAGUGGGGAAUCUUGCGCAAUGGGCGAAAGCCUGACGCAGCGACGCCGCGUGAGGGAUGACGGCCU
rnacentral:rRNA from 1 species